UAAAUCACAAGGAAACCUAACCCGAAAUGGAA
rnacentral:piRNA from 1 species